rnacentral:rRNA from 1 species
GACGAACGCUGGCGGCGUGCUUAACACAUGCAAGUCGAACGGAAAGGCCCUGCUUUUGUGGGGUGCUCGAGUGGCGAACGGGUGAGUAACACGUGAGUAACCUGCCCUUGACUUUGGGAUAACUUCAGGAAACUGGGGCUAAUACCGGAUAGGAGCUCCUGCUGCAUGGUGGGGGUUGGAAAGUUUCGGCGUUUGGGGAUGGACUCGCGGCUUAUCAGCUUGUUGGUGGGGUAGUGGCUUACCAACGCUUUGACGGGUAGCCGGCCUGAGAGGGUGACCGGCCACAUUGGGACUGAGAUACGGCCCAGACUCCUACGGGAGGCAGCAGUGGGGAAUAUUGCACAAUGGGCGGAAGCCUGAUGCAGAAACGCCGCGUGCGGGAUGACGGCCUUCGGGUUGUAAACCGCUUUCGCCUGUGACGAAGCGUGAGUGACGGUAAUGGGUAAAGAAGCACCGGCUAACUACGUG